CCCACACGUCUUCAGCACCAACUUCAGAGAUACGGUGGAUAUCUUGGUGGGCUGGCACAUUGACCACACACAGAAACAGUCUCUGACUCAGCAGGUCUCAGGCUGGCUGCAGAGCCUGGAACAGUUCUGGGUAGCAGACCUAACCUUCUCCACCACGCUGUUGGGACAGUUUCUAGAGGACAUGGAGGCCUACGCAGAGG